GACGAACGCUGGCGGCGUGCCUAAUACAUGCAAGUAGAACGCUGAAGGAGGAGCUUGCCCUUCUGGAUGAGUUGCGAACGGGUGAGUAACGCGUAGGUAACCUGCCUGGUAGCGGGGGAUAACUAUUGGAAACGAUAGCUAAUACCGCAUAACAGUAGAUAUCGCAUGAUAGCUGCUUGAAAGGUGCAAUUGCACCACUACCAGAUGGACCUGCGUUGUAUUAGCUAGUUGGUGAGGUAACGGCUCACCAAGGCGACGAUACAUAGCCGACCUGAGAGGGUGAUCGGCCACACUGGGACUGAGACACGGCCCAGACUCCUACGGGAGGCAGCAGUAGGGAAUCUUCGGCAAUGGACGGAAGUCUGACCGAGCAACGCCGCGUGAGUGAAGAAGGUUUUCGGAUCGUAAAGCUCUGUUGUAAGAGAAGAACGAGUGUGAGAGUGGAAAGUUCACACUGUGACGGUAUCUUACCAGAAAGGGACGGCUAACUACGUGCCAGCAGCCGCGGUAAUACGUAGGUCCCGAGCGUUGUCCGGAUUUAUUGGGCGUAAAGCGAGCGCAGGCGGUUAGAUAAGUCUGAAGUUAAAGGCUGUGGCUUAACCAUAGUACGCUUUGGAAACUGUUUAACUUGAGUGCAAGAGGGGAGAGUUGGAAUUCCAUGUGUAGCGGUGAAAUGCGUAUGAUAUAUGGAGGAACACCGGGUGGCGAAAGCGGCUCUCUGUCUUGUAACUUGAAUCUGAGGCUCGAAAGCGUGGGGGAGCAAACAGGAUUUGAUACCCUAGUUGUCCAAGGGCGGAUUUCCGCUGUGGUGAUGUGGCUUAUCGAUUCCCCUUCCCCCUCGGGGGGAGAAAAACAAGUAAUUCAUUUUUGUUCCCUUUUGUGGGGGUUUAUUAUGUGUGUGCUGUGGGUGUGUAUGUUUGGUUGGGUGAUGGGAGAUGCUUGUUCAUUGUGUGUGUGUUGGGAAGGAGGGGGUGUGUUUUUGAUGUUGUGUUAUUUUGAGGGUGUGGAGUGAGAUGUGUGUAUGAGGUGUAGUGUUGUGGUGUGUGUGUGUGAUGUGGUUGUGUUAUGGUGUGUGUUGUGUCCUGUGCUGGUGUUGUGCGUCUUGGGGGUUUGUGAUGUGUGUGCUGUGUGUGUGUGGUAAUGAUGAGGUGGUGAGUGUGUUGUUGUUGUGGUGCUAGUGUGUUGUAUUGUUGUUGAUGUGUUGUAGUUCCUGUUUUGUGUUUAGUUGUGAGUUGUUGUUGCUUAGUAUUGUAUUUGAUUGUGUUGCGCAUGUCUGCAUUAGUGUGGUAGUGUAGUGUGUGAUUG
rnacentral:rRNA from 1 species